AUGAACGCUGGCGGCGUGCCUAAUACAUGCAAGUCGAGCGAACAGACGAGGAGCUUGCUCCUCUGACGUUAGCGGCGGACGGGUGAGUAACACGUGGAUAACCUACCUAUAAGACUGGGAUAACUUCGGGAAACCGGAGCUAAUACCGGAUAAUAUAUUGAACCGCAUGGUUCAAUAGUGAAAGACGGUUUUGCUGUCACUUAUAGAUGGAUCCGCGCCGCAUUAGCUAGUUGGUAAGGUAACGGCUUACCAAGGCAACGAUGCGUAGCCGACCUGAGAGGGUGAUCGGCCACACUGGAACUGAGACACGGUCCAGACUCCUACGGGAGGCAGCAGUAGGGAAUCUUCCGCAAUGGGCGAAAGCCUGACGGAGCAACGCCGCGUGAGUGAUGAAGGUCUUCGGAUCGUAAAACUCUGUUAUUAGUGAAGAACAAAUGUGUAAGUAACUAUGCACGUCUUGACGGUACCUAAUCAGAAAGCCACGGCUAACUACGUG
rnacentral:rRNA from 1 species